AACGAACGCUGGCGGCAGGCCUAACACAUGUAAGUCGAGCGCGCCCUUCGGGGUGAGCGGCGGACGGGUGAGUAACGCGUGGGAACGUGCCCUUCUCUGCGGAAUAGCCUCGGGAAACUGAGAGUAAUACCGCAUACGCCCUUUGGGGGAAAGAUUUAUCGGAGAGGGAUCGGCCCGCGUUGGAUUAGGUAGUUGGUGGGGUAAUGGCCCACCAAGCCGACGAUCCAUAGCUGGUUUGAGAGGAUGAUCAGCCACACUGGGACUGAGACACGGCCCAGACUCCUACGGGAGGCAGCAGUGGGGAAUCUUAGACAAUGGGGGCAACCCUGAUCUAGCCAUGCCGCGUGAGUGAUGAAGGCCUUAGGGUUGUAAAGCUCUUUCAGCUGGGAAGAUAAUGACGGUACCAGCAGAAGAAGCCCCGGCUAACUCCGUG
rnacentral:rRNA from 1 species